GCUAGGGGCCGGCCCCAUGGCCGAGCAGUUGAGUUCGCACACUCCACUUCAGCGGCCCAGGGUUUGGCAGGAUCCCAACCAGCAAACCCUGGGCCGCCGAAGCGGAGCACGCGAACCUAACCACUUGGCCACCGGGCCGGUCCUAAAAAUAAACUUUAAAUGAACAUGCCUGAUCCUUUCCCAGGAAGAUACGUUUGAAUGGGCUCUUUUUCCCCAUUAAUGGGUUUGCAUGAAAAGACCUUUUUCUUUUUCUGUUUGCUUGUCCGCAAAGACCUGCAACUAAUUGGUUUUAAUAUCCUUUUUCUCUACACUUUCUCCUCCUAGUAAACGUAUAUUGGAGCACUUAUUAGGUACGAGGCACUUGAUAAACGUUAUUUAAACUUCUAUGUCUGUACGCAAGUAUUAUUGCUCACUUUUUUGGUGACAAACUCGAGCUUAAAGAAACUGUAAGAGCUGAUAGAUGGUGGCACCGGGACUCAGACCUGUUUGAUUCCAAAACCUGCGCCGUCCGCUCCUAAAGCCAAGUGCCUGUGAGACACCAUGGGAGGCUCCUGUAACUUUCAGGUUCCUGAGCCACCUUCCAGGUCUUGAGUCAGAUCUGUUAACCCCUCGGGUAAUUUUGGGUUGCCAGCUGGCACUGAUGCGCGUACGGGUGGUUUUUGAGAAUCCCAAGACUGUGCUCUAUUACUUCACCAAUGAGACCGAGAAUUAACAGCAGGAGCAGGAAGGGCAUGGAGGGGGACCAAGCACAACACUGCACACCUGUCUGGUCACUGAGUAGCAGUAACACGUAACAGCUAUCUUCAGUGGGCUAAUACAUCGGGAGUGACCGUAGGCCAGUCACUGUGGAUGAGCCACUUCAUGUGCAUUCUCACUGAAUUCUCAAGGUAGCUUGAGGAGGCAGAUACGCUAAUGCCCAUUUUACCAAUGAGGGAAAUAGGCUUAAAUAAAUUAACUGGUGUGAAGGAGCUGGCACUCAAAGCUAGGUGCCUCUGAGCUCAUGUUCUUAACCACUACGCCAUACAAACCUCUCCCUUGGUCUGUAGAUGGCCACUUAGCUUGGUAUAAAAAGUGACUGUUAAAACUUGUCAGAAGGGCCCACCCUGUGGCCCAGUGGUUAAGUUCUUGCACUCCACUUCAGCGGCCCAGGGUUCAGCGGUUUGGAUCCUGGGCACAGACCUAGCACUGCUCAUCAAGCCAUGCUGAGGCGGCGUCCCACAUAGAACUAGAAUGACCUACAACUAGGAUAUACAACUAUGUACUGGGGCUGUGGGGAGAAAAAAAAAGAGGAACAGAUGUUAGCAACAUUGGCAACAGAUGUUAGCUCAGGGCAAUCUUCCUCACCAAAAGUAUAUUCAAAACAAAACUUGUCAAAGAUAGGUAAGAAGUUUAAGGGCCCACUUUACUGAUUCUAGUUAACUGCGU
rnacentral:lncRNA from 1 species